ensembl:lncRNA
GCGGCUAUACUGUUGCAGCGCCAAUAAAAUAUUAAUCUUGUCUAAUCACUCAGUAAGGCCUAUUUUUGCAUCUAUGUUUUAUACACCCACAAUAGACAAAUCAGUGAAAACUCCUAGUGAAGAUAUGCUGCAGCAGUGUAAUCUUGAUCUGCUGUAGUUCACAGCCUGCCUGUUUUUAAAGGUCGUGAUUAUCCACAGUGCAUUACAAAGACACUAGAAGUUUGCAAUGUUGCUGCUACAUUGGCACAGGUAAACCAUUUGAACAGGAAAAAGAAGUGGAACUGGAGCUAUGACGUUGUGAUACCAUGCAUAACUUAGUUACAGGUAAGCAAUGACAUGCAUCUGAAUGGAGUUAAUCAAGGGAAGGGAUGGUGCGCUAAGGAGAAUUAGUAAUAAAAUACCAUUUUAAAACCAAAUAAGUAAAAUAAAUAGUAAGAUGCAACACUUACAGUGGGUAAUAGGAAAUGGAGUCCCAUGCAGGUACACCGUAUGGUAGCUAAGCCAAACCUGGCACUGCUGUAAGGCUCCCUACAGACACAUUAUGCCUGCGGAGGCAUUCAGGCAUUCUCCUCACACAAACCCAGGCAGAGUUGUGACCAGUUUUAGGGCGGUGGACAUGUCAGAUGUGUCAGGGAACCAACUUUCUUUUGGCCACUCAGUACCUCGUUUCAGACGGACAAGAGCUGCAACACCUCGGCAUAGGGCUACCCCGCACUUCUAAGGUCACAACCCUGGGGCAGAGGUGCUGAGGUGGCACAGCCAGCCAGGAGCACCUGCCCCUCUAGCAACCACUGCAGGUGGCUCACGCCAUCCAUGGUAACGUCAAACAACUCUGCAGGUUUCCCCUCCCUGCCACCAUCUCCCCCAUUGUUACCCCCAGCUCCUGCCCCCUCCUUCCAGCCUGGGGGCAAGUUGCACCCAUCCCCCGCCCUCCUUCUCGCCCCUUCGCCCCCUUCAUAGUAGGGUUACCAGAUGUCCCAACUUUAUAGGGACAGUUUUUUGGGUCUUUUUCUUAUAUAGGCUCCUAUUACCCCCCCACCCCCUGUCCCGAUUCUUCACACCUGCUGUCUGGUCACCCUACUCCAUAGCAGCAGCUGUUCUCAGGGCCAGUAAGGGGAGGCUUGAGCAGACGUUACUGAGCAUGCGCAGUAACCUUCCAGGGAAUAACGAUCCUGACACCACGCUAACCGGAGCGGGGGUGACGGCGCAACCCCCCCAGCGCUCACACGGCCCAAUCCGCACGCGCCGCCAGCUGCCACCCGCGCUCAAGGGCGGCACUAUCUGUUUAAUGGGCUUAACCACAUUUCUGAAUAUGAAGACCCUCAAAUUUGCUGGAAAUUUGGCUCACAGCCAAACUUUACAUCUUGGACUUAUAGCUAAAAGGACAACAUCAAGGUACUUGUCAUCUUUUAAUAAAUGUUGCUUAUAGCUAAAGGCAAUUAAGCAGACCUAAAAAGCCCUAAGUGGCCUAGGAACUAUAGGCUAGAUUCACAAAAGGCCCUAGAUCAGUGGUGGGCAACCUGCGGCCCGCCAAGGUAAUCCGCUCGUGGGCCAUGAGACAGUUUGUUUACAUUGACUGUCCCUCAGGCACAGCCGCCCGCAGCUCCCAGUAGCUGCAGU